ACUCGGCCUCUAUAUAUUGCAGAACAUGUACAACUCAAUCAGUUCACUGCCAUAGAAAAUUUUCACCAUCAUUUAGACAGAUUUCGUGAAAAAUGCAUCGUAAGGAUGGAAAUUGCUGAAUACCUACUGCCGUUGUUGAUUUGUGGAGUUUUGCCAGUUCAGUCAUUGUACACUAAUGUUACUAAACCCUGCAUGAAGCAACAGAGAAAUGAAAAUCAGUGUGCAUUGGCUGGAAAGUGGACAAAUGAGCUUGGUUCCAAAAUGAAUAUAUCUUGCAAAGAUGGAAAUAUCUCAGGUAAAUAUCAAAGCGGCGUUGGACGAGCUAUAAAUUGGUAUGAUCUUGCAGGGAGGUAUCUCCAGGUAAAUGAAACGGAUUUCAUGGUCGGAUGGACUGUGGCUUGGAAAAAUCAAUAUAUGGAUGCCAAGUCUCUCGCAAGCUGGACUGGCGUAUACUAUGCUGAAAAAGACAAGAUAUUGACCCAGUGGGUUCUCGGUGCGUUCAAAGAUCCAAAAGAUUACUGGAGAACCUUUUCCACUAAUCAGAAUGUAUUUACCAGGGAUAAUGAAUGUUAGAUAGAGAAGAAAUUCAGUUGAUAUAUACUUAUGCAUUUUCUUUUCUUUCUAUUUCUUUGCAUAAAAAUUCUCAUGUUUAUUCAUAGAAUAAAAGUAAAGAUGCUUAAAUAAAAUUCCUCAACAAAUUUA